GCCGUGGCAUACUAACCCCCUGCUGUGUUCACGCAGCCAAACCCAGUCCUUUCCCGGCGCUCCAACCGAAUCCCGAGCCUCAACUCCCAGCCCUGCCCGCCCUGUCUGGUGAGCAGACAAGCCUCUCGGGCUGAACCUCAAGCAGAA